GACGAACGCUGGCGGCGUGCUUAACACAUGCAAGUCGAACGGAAAGGCCUCAGCUUGCUGGGGUACUCGAGUGGCGAACGGGUGAGUAACACGUGGGUGAUCUGCCUUGCACUCUGGGAUAAGCUUGGGAAACUGGGUCUAAUACCGGAUAUGAACUGCCUUUAGUGUGGUGGUUGGAAAGUUUUUUCGGUGCAAGAUGAGCUCGCGGCCUAUCAGCUUGUUGGUGGGGUAAUGGCCUACCAAGGCGUCGACGGGUAGCCGGCCUGAGAGGGUGUACGGCCACAUUGGGACUGAGAUACGGCCCAGACUCCUACGGGAGGCAGCAGUGGGGAACAUUGCACGAUGGGCGGAAGCCUGAUGCAGCGACGCCGCGUGGGGGAUGACGGCCUUCGGGUUGUAAACUCCUUUCGACAGGGACGAAGCUUUUUGUGACGGUACCUGUAUAAGAAGCACCGGCUAACUACGUG
rnacentral:rRNA from 1 species